rnacentral:miRNA from 1 species
UUUGAUCACCAGUAACUGAGAU